rnacentral:rRNA from 1 species
AUGGCGGCGAAAGCUGAGACGCACGCGCGUCCGCUCGAGAUGGAGGCCAUCGAGAGCUGCAUUGAUCCAGGAUUCUGGGAUGCCGUCCACUGCCUCAAGCUCGACGUCCUCGGCAUUGACGACUCCCCAGUCCCCAUCACUGGCUAUUAUACUUUGUGCGCACAUUCGAAAAUUCUGGGUCUCGUCAGGCUAUCCUCAAAAUCAUUAGAAGCAUCACCUCCAUUUCAGUCUAGGAACAAUUGUAUAGUUCCGGGGACCCUCAUAAACACUAAUAACAUGUUGGGCUUCAAAAAUCUAGAUGUGGACCUUCUACUCAAAGAAGAAGGAAAAAAGAUAUUUUAUGAUAUUUUAUCCAGUAAAAUUGAAGAGGAUCCUACUCUUCUAUUGAGGUUUCUUGUGAUAUCAUUUGUGGAUCUGAAAAAUUGGAAGGUCUAUUAUGAUGUUGCAUUCCCCUCGUUGGUUUUGAACUCUAAAAUGACUUUUCUCACACUGCAUAGCGCCUCAGAGGUGCUAAGCCAAGAGGAGGUAAUGCACCUAAUAUCACAUAUAUUAUUUUAUCUUUUUAUGAUAGGUAAUGAGUGCCAAGUAUUUACUUCUUUAGGAAACAUUGUUGUUUUCCUUUUUUGGGUCCAUAUAUACUCAGAUUCUUUUGUCGUUAUAAGACAACUUAAGUGCUGGAAAGGUUAUUCGGGCGAUCACCAAAAGCUCCUGUUUGGAUUUUAUGAUCAUGGUCAUCAAGAUUACCCUGGCUGGGCUCUUAGAAACUACAUUGCAUUCCUGAGCCUGCGGUGGAAAAUCGAGAAAGUUCAGUUCUUGUGCUAUAGAGAAAGACAUGGGGAACCUGAUCUAGAGAAGUCCCUUAUUGGUGAAGCAUCAUUUGCAGGACCUCAUGGUAUUAUGAUCGAUCUGAAUAAGAUCUUUACAAUCUCAUUAGCAAUUGUUUUUAACAUUAAAAAGCAGGUGAUGCACUUGAAGCUUAUGGGAUGGCGACAUCCCUCUCUUGUUUUAAACAAGUUGCAUAGCGCUCGAUGCCUUGUGUUGGGUGCUGGAGCUCUUGGCUGUGAAACCUGGGGUGUACAGAAACUAACAGUGGUUGAUGGUGGUUGUGUUGCCAUUCCUGAUGUAGUCAAACAAUCACUCUACAUAGGUAAUGAUUGUGGUGUCCCAAGAGCCACUGCGAUAGUUCCACAUCUAAAAGAGAGAUGUCCUGCAGUGGAGGUUGAAGGCAUCCAGAUGGAAAUACCAGUGCCUGGGAACCCGGUUUCUCCAACCAAAAUGUCAAGUGUUCUUGAUAAUUGCAAGCGCUUUCAAGCAUUAGUAGCUUCCAGUGAUGUGGUCUUCUUGUUGACUGACACAUGGGAGAGUAGAUGGUUUCCAACUCUACUUUGUGCAAACGAAAAUGAGAUCGCUAUCACUUCAGCAUCAGGAUAUGAUAGUUACCUUGUCAUGCGGCAUGGUGCUGGUCCAGGACAUAAUUUAUCUACCGAAGAUGCUCUUGGUCACCGAAGAUUAGGCUGUUGUUUCUACAACAACUCGAGUUCUUUUGUCAAUUUAGUCCUUAACGAAAUAGUAGCCAUGCCUGGGUUGACCUCGAUUGCAUCUGGCAAAGCAGUGGAGCUCUUUGCGAGGAUAUUACAUCAUGAAGAGGGGGUAAUGCCACACAACAUUCUAGGUCAAUUGGUGUCCUAUAAAACCCGCCUUUUAGCUUUUGUGGCAUUCUCUUGGAGAGUUCCGUCAGCACGACAGCAUGGUGACAACGAUGAUGUUCUACCGACACAGGGCUUCGCCUAA